UACGGGGGGGGCAAGCGUUGUUCGGAAUUACUGGGCGUAAAGGGCGCGUAGGCGGCCUUCUAAGUCAGACGUGAAAUCCCUCGGCUCAACCGGGGAACUGCGUCUGAGACUGGAAGGCUUGAAUCCGGGAGAGGGAUGUGGAAUUCCAGGUGUAGCGGUGAAAUGCGUAGAUAUCUGGAGGUACACCGGUGGCGAAGGCGGCAUCCUGGACCGGUAUUGACGCUGAGGCGCGAAAGCCAGGGGAGCAAACGGG
rnacentral:rRNA from 1 species